GAAGUAUUACAAGUCAUCUUCGGAGAUAAAGUGUAAGGACGGAUCAAAGAAAUUCACAAAAGCUCAACUUAAUGACGAUUUCUGUGAUUGUUCUGAUGGAACUGACGAGCCAGGUACCUCAGCUUGCCCAAAUGGGAAAUUCUAUUGUCGAAACGCAGGCCACUCUCCAUUAGUUUUGUUUUCUUCCAGAGUCAAUGAUGGUAUUUGUGAUUGUUGUGAUGGAAGUGAUGAAUAUGAUGGUCAAGUGACAUGU